CACAGCCGGUCAUGAAGUGCUCUCGAGGGUUUGGUAUGGGAACACCUCGUGCCAGUGAGUUCAGGUAACUAGACUCUGGGGUGGAGCGGCUCUGGUAAACACGUGGAGAUAAGAGCGCGUCUCUGGAGACGAGAUGAUCUGCAGGAUUCAUCAUUACAGAGACACGCCAUCGGAUUUGGACAUUGUCAUUCAUUUUCCAAGUCUGUCGGUUCAUUGAACUUGUGUACUUUCAUUUUAUGUACCGUAUAAUCAGAGAUACAAAAUUAUGCUUGAGUAACUUGGCUUACACUGACAUAACUCUCCUUUUCUAAGCUUAUAAUAAGCUUAUCAUGUCCAUUCACAUGGAGGCUUCCGAGUUAAUUCAAUCUGACCUACAACGGUCGACUUUACCUCCAUCAGAUCAUUUCUCCAAGAAAAACAAACUGACAGGAGAUGGUGGUGUUCGCUGACGUGACCGGCAGGAGAUGGCCGUGGUGGAAAUGGUCAGGGUAAUUUUCCCAUGAUUGACUCACCCUCAGCCAUCCUAGGUGUAUAUGACUAUCCCCUUUCAGACAAACACAAUAUCCUGGCUCUUCCAAGCUUUAUAAUGUUAAUGAACAGGGGGCGAGAUUUUGAAGCCCAUCAUGAAAGUAAUCCAUACGACUCCAGAGGGUUAAUAAAGGCCUUUUUUCAGGUUCAUCCUCAGUUCACGACCCUCUAUCUCCCAAAAUAUUCCCUUUUCCUCAAGUUUGAAUAAAGGAAAAGGGAAUUCUUCAUGGAGGUGGAAGGUCUACGAUCUCCAUCUUCAUGAUCAUGGAUGAGGCUUGCAAUAACAGGCCUCGAUUGGUCAUGAACAUCAGGGACAUUCAUGUGAUGUUGAAGAACAUUUAUGGUCAAAAGUUGAAGACAGGCUUGAUGUUACUCAUACUGUGCAUUUGAGAUUUAUUACUUAAAUGUAUGUUUCACGAUGCAAAUGCGGGAUUGUUGUAAAAAUACUGUAAAAUAAAAUAUUCUUGCAUGCAA